rnacentral:tRNA from 2 species
GCAUUGGUAGUUUAGUGGUAAAAUUUUUGCCUUCAACAUGAAAGACCUGGGUUUGAUUCCCAGCCAGUGCA